rnacentral:rRNA from 1 species
UAAGACAGAGGGGGCAAGCGUUGCUCGGAAUUACUGGGCGUAAAGGGCGCGUAGGCGGGAUGGCAAGUCGGUCGUGAAAUCCCUCGGCUCAACUGAGGAUCGUCGAUCGAUACUGCCGUUCUUGAGGAUUGCAGAGGAGACUGGAAUUCCCGGUGUAGCGGUGAAAUGUGUAGAGAUCGGGAGGAACACCGGUGGCGAAGGCGGGUCUCUGGGCAAUUCCUGACGCUGAGGCGCGAAAGCGUGGGGAGCAAACGGGAUUAGAUACCCCGGUAGUCCACGCUGUAAACGAUGACGACUAGGUGUGGGGGGUUCAGUCCCUUCCGUGCCGCAGCUAACGCAUUAAGUCGUCCGCCUGGGGAGUACGGCCGCAAGGUUG